rfam:Gossypium arboreum cultivar AKA8401 contig_31799_1, whole genome shotgun sequence.
UGUUAAAAAUUUUGUCCAAUUUUAUUGUUUAAAACUAAUAUGGCUAACAGAAUAAUCAAACAACUAUAUUUGACGUGCCACGUGUAGCUCAUGCUGAUGCACAAAGAUCAAUUUUUAAUAGUAGAAAUAAAUAAAAAUUUUAAUA